GCUGCCAUUCCCCACAGGGAGAGCAUGUGGGAAAUGGCAGCUUAAUAGUUUUCUUGACUCUUCGCCUGUGAUUUAAAAACGUACCUAGAAAAGAUUAAUGCAAGAAGAUUUUCCCUUUUUUGUUUAAAAUUAAGCGUAGAUAUGCUGUAUAUAUAUCCAUAAACGAUACUGAUGAAAUGAGAGUAUAUAUAAGGUACCGGGAGUUCAUUACAAGCAAACGCAUUCACUUUAAUUGCCCAUGGAAGUAAAAUACUUUAUAACCUUUUCUUAAAUGCUCGUAUCUCCUGAUCGAUUCAAGUGCACUUAAUUGGAUUGCUUUUAUUUACAACAUUCUCUGGUCGUUUCCAUUCGCCACAACAACCGUACUGAGUGCAAAACAAACCACACGUCUCCAAUCUUACCAAUUUUCUUUAAUAAUCAAGAAUUGCGAUAUAUUCGAUAAUACCGCGUACAUUACGCUGUGGGCACGUUGUUACAUUUAGCUGUCGCUUAUAUAGACCGUAAUGCAGUAGCAAAUGUAACAUCGUAAUGAGUCGGGAACAAACGUUGAGAUUUUAGUGCUUUGUAAAUCGGAUAUGUGCCUGAAUUAAUUUAUAGAAUUAUGGUUAAAAAUUGGAGUCAAGCCUAAUACACUUUUCCAAUUUGCAUUAAGAUUUUGACAAUUGAAUCUAGUAUUUCAUAGAACUGAAUCAAUCAAAUGAAAUACAACAGUCGACAUUCUUGGUAUUACUUCUUGUGUAAUCAAAAAUAAUGUUUAAAGAUUGAAAUAUAUAUAAACUUUGGAAGUAGUGGCUAUUAUUUUAAAUUCACAUAAGAUACCUUCGUGUCUAGUGGUUAAUGAGUACAACACUUCUUUGUAUGGUUGUUUUUCUGCUAUAAGCUUUAUAUACAGACAAUGUUUAAUAAAAUAAAUAAUUGUUAUAUAUAAAAUAAAUAAAUUUUUAUUGGUCAAAGUAUUCGAUCUUCGAAUCGCACAACUAAUCUAAAGUAAUAUAGAUGUGUGUAUAAAUGAGCGGGCACUGCAUUCAGUGCACUCAAAGAAACAAGUUCCAGUUGUUUAGUUGCAUUUCUGUGGCUUUAAUUUUGAAAUAAAAUGCCUUGCGGAGGUUGCGGUGACAGCUGCAAAUGCACCACUGCCCAGUGCAGCCAAUCGUGCAAAUGCGAUUCAUCAUGCUCUUGCGCAUGCAAGCGAUCCAAGGACGCAGAAGCUUCAGCUAAGAAAUAGCAAGUUCAAGUCCAAUUUUGUGCUUUGUAUCCAAAAAUAAAAAUGUGUUUUUAGUUUUAAGAAAUAAUCGUU